GGUUUUGAUUUCUCUUGGUAGUUGCUUUUUGUCCAACUCUUUCUAUCUACAAGUUUUGACUCAUAAGAGAGUAUUCACAAAUUCAAUCAAGUAGUACACAACAGCUCUCUGAUAAAGCAUGGGAUAGGCAUUUUAUUAAUUGGUUCAAAGUUAGAGUGACAAGAUUGCAUAAGACUAUGAACAACAAAAAAAUAGAAGACUUACUUUCACUAUCUCGUGGUCCUUCCCAAUAUGUUACCUGCUAUAAAGGGUAAAUUUGUAAUGGAUUUAGAUUUCAUACAGAAGAUCAUGAAAAAGGUUUAAGGACACAAAAUAGUGGAGUGGUAGUUGUUGGUGAUAAUGGCGUAGAUAGAUAUUGCAAACAUUGAUUUUUAUGGGGUUUUAACUAAGAUUCUUGAAUUGCAAUAUCUUGGAGGAAGACGAGUGGCAUUGGUUCGUUGUAAAUGGUGGGAUGUCUAUGAUAGAGAGAAAGGAGUUAAAAUAGAUGAAUAUGGAAUUGUUAGUGUUAACUCCCAACGACUUCUGAAAACAAAUGAGCCAUUUGUAUUAGCUAGCUAAGCAUCACAAGUUUUUUAUGCCCAUGACAAUAAAUGCAAAGGUUGGGAAUUAGUGAUAAAGACCCAACCUCGUGAUUCAUAUUCAA